rnacentral:misc_RNA from 1 species
AACAUCGCGCACCUGCGGGAACCUGCGGAAGGAUCAUUACAGAGUUCAUGCCCUCACGGGUAGAUCUCCCACCCUUGAAUACUAUACCUUUGUUGCUUUGGCGGGCCGCUUUGGCUACUGGCUCUGGCUAGUAAGUGCCCGCCAAAGAACCCCAAAACUCUGAAUAUUAGUGUCGUCUGAGUACUAUAUAAUAGUUAAAACUUUUAACAACGGAUCU